GGCUGGGCACCGGGACCGAGGAGACGCGGGACAGGCGGUCUCGGCUCGCACCAGCCCCCUCAGGAGCCGCGGCCCGGCUCGAACCGCUCCGUCACAGGAGCCAUGGUCCCGCACCAGCCGCUCCGAACCGAACCGAGCGAACUCCUCGUUGUAAGGGAUCCGUUGUUUUAGCGAAAAUCCCUCCCGCAUCCGCGUCCCGUUCUCGGAGAGGCUCGUGUGGCUCAACGAGGAAGGAGGGGUGUUUUGUGAAGUGCCAAGGUGGAAGAUGCCUGCCCCUCAUUUCACCUUUGGCAGGCACAUGAGUGAUGCAUGCAGGAUAACAUCAUGUUCUGAGGAGAGCUGGGAGCUGUGUCAGCUUCUCUGGGCGCUCCUCAUAAUCUUUGACCCCUGCUUGGCAGCAUCCAUCCCUCUGUCCCACUCCUGGCCUUUCCUGAGCUCAAGGGAUUCCUCACUUCAGAAUGUGAAAUGGAUUUGCAUUCAUGUUUCUGUCGGGUUGACAAGUCCCUAGCUAUGGUUCCCAGCGUGCUGUGGAGUGAAGCUGUUCCUGGCAGUCCUGAUCUCAACCAUGAGUCAAAAGUUUCCUUGAUACUCACUGAGUUCCAGCUACCAAAACUCUUUAUCCUCUGAACACAUACAGGAUGUAGCCUAUGGCAGUAUUUUUCAUUCUUUGCCUUCUUUCCAGUAAAUAAAUCUAAGUUAAUCUUCUAAAUAGAGUUCCUGAAUCAUUUCACUUGCAGAAUGAGCCCUAAAGAACA